CUGCCGGCGUGGGACCGACGAGGGCGGGAAGGCGCUUAACUGAACGCUGGCACGGUUUCCUAGAUCUAAAAGAAAGGCUGAGUUAGAGUACCCUUCCAAAAUGGCUGCUCUUAAAGAAGAGAGGGAUGUGGAAGACUACAAGAGGAAAGGAAGACGAUCCUCACAGCAGAAAUACCGUAGACUGAAUAAGGGCCAUGAGCCAAAGGAGCCGGAGCAGUUGAGAAAGUUGUUCAUUGGAGGUCUGAGCUUUGAAACAACAGAUGAUAGCUUGAGAGAGCACUUUGAAAAAUGGGGCACGCUCACGGACUGUGUGGUGAUGAGAGACCCGCAAACAAAACGUUCCAGAGGCUUCGGGUUUGUGACUUACUCUUGUGUGGAGGAGGUGGAUGCUGCCAUGAGUGCUCGACCGCAUAAGGUUGAUGGACGCGUGGUUGAACCAAAGAGGGCGGUUUCGAGGGAGGAUUCUGUAAAGCCUGGGGCACAUCUCACAGUAAAGAAAAUAUUUGUUGGUGGAAUUAAAGAAGAUACAGAAGAAUAUAAUUUAAGGGAGUACUUUGAAAAAUAUGGCAAGAUUGAAACCAUAGAAGUCAUGGAAGACAGGCAAAGCGGAAAGAAAAGAGGCUUCGCUUUUGUAACUUUUGAUGAUCAUGAUACAGUUGAUAAAAUUGUUGUUCAGAAAUAUCAUACUAUAAAUGGACAUAACUGUGAAGUGAAAAAAGCACUCUCAAAACAAGAGAUGCAGACUGCUAGCUCUCAGAGAGUAAAAUAUUUUGUAGGUCGUGGGGGUGGCUCAGGCAACUUCAUGGGUCGUGGAAACUUCGGAGGUGGUGGAGGGAACUUUGGCCGAGGAGGAAACUUUGGUGGAAGAGGAGGCUAUGGGGGUGGUGGUGGCGGUGGUGGGAGCAGAGGAAGCUUUGGGGGUGGUGACGGAUACAAUGGAUUUGGUGAUGGUGGCAACUACGGAGGUGGUCCUGGCUAUGGCAGCAGAGGAGGUUAUGGUGGCGGUGGAGGACCGGGAUAUGGAAACCCAGGUGGUGGAUACGGAGGUGGAGGAGGAGGAUAUGAUGGCUACAAUGAAGGAGGAAAUUUCGGUGGUGGUAAUUAUGGUGGAAGUGGAAACUACAAUGAUUUUGGCAAUUACAGUGGGCAACAGCAGUCUAACUAUGGUCCCAUGAAAGGUGGUGGCAGCUUUGGUGGCAGAAGUUCAGGCAGUCCCUACGGUGGUGGUUAUGGAUCUGGAAGUGGAAGUGGGGGCUAUGGUGGUAGAAGAUUCUAAAAAUGCUACCAGAAAAAGGGUUGAAUGAGAAGCUGCUGCUUGACAAAAUGGGGAAUGUCUUGCACAUCCUCUUCAAUUGAAGGUUUCUGACUGGGUUGACAUCUCUAUCUAAGAUUAGCUUUUUCCUGAACUAAAGUAAUCCAAGUAUCUCCGUAGAAGAAAAAUGGCCUUCAUGUAGAAGAUAAAAUCGCAAGAUUGGAAACAGAAUAAUAUGUUAUAAUAACUGGCAAAGACUUCAAGAGCAAUGGUGCUAGUGUGCUGAAAUCUUAGAACUUGUGGUUAAACAAGUUUAACAAUAGCAUGGAAAUUAAAAAUUUCAGUAUAGUCCAUAAUGGAUUGAAAUUGUUAAAAUAUUUAAAUUUUGUAUCAGAAUAAAGUGUAUAUUGUCAAAUGACUUACAAUCUAAAAUGCGUUGCC